rnacentral:lncRNA from 1 species
CGUACCACUGCGGCGCGUUGAUGAGCCCGAUCUUGGUUAACACCUCAGGGGCCAGCAUCCCAACCACGCCGAGCAUCGCCCACCGGCUGUUCACCAGCUCCGCCUGCACGUACCAAUUGAGGUUCUCCGGGUCCUCUGCCAGGCCCAGCGGGUCGAAGCCGUUGUCUCCGGGGAGGCUGCUCAUCAUAUUCCGUCAAUUGUUACUAUUCGGAAUUCAUACUGCAAAUCACGUUAUUCUCAUAAGAUUUAUUUGUUUCUGCAAUUCU